rnacentral:rRNA from 1 species
GACGAACGCUGGCGGCGUGCCUAAUACAUGCAAGUCGAGCGGACUUUCAAGAAGCUUGCUUUUUGAAAGUUAGCGGCGGACGGGUGAGUAACACGUGGGCAACCUGCCUGCAAGACGGGGAUAACUCCGGGAAACCGGGGCUAAUACCGGAUAAUAUCUUCCUUCGCAUGAAGGAAGGUUGAAAGGCGGCGCAAGCUGCCGCUUGCAGAUGGGCCCGCGGCGCAUUAGCUAGUUGGUGAGGUAACGGCUCACCAAGGCGACGAUGCGUAGCCGACCUGAGAGGGUGAUCGGCCACACUGGGACUGAGACACGGCCCAGACUCCUACGGGAGGCAGCAGUAGGGAAUCUUCCGCAAUGGACGAAAGUCUGACGGAGCAACGCCGCGUGAGCGAAGAAGGUCGUCGGAUCGUAAAGCUCUGUUGUCAGGGAAGAACAAGUACCGUUCGAACAGGGCGGUACCUUGACGGUACCUGACCAGAAAGCCACGGCUAACUACGUG